rnacentral:rRNA from 1 species
CUUGACACCGUAACUUCGGGAUAAGGUGUGCCUCUGCUAGGUGAACGUGUACAACGGGAGCCGAGAGGGGCUGCAAAGAAUCGGUGGCUGCGACUGUUUAACAAAAACACAGCACUCUGCUAAGACGAAAGUCGACGUAUAGGGUGUGACGCCUGCCCGGUGCCGGAAGGUUAAAUGAUGGGGUGCAAGCCCUUGAUUGAAGCCCCGGUAAACGGCGGCCGUAACAAUAACGGUCCUAAGGUAGCGAAAUUCCUUGUCGGGUAAGUUCCGACCUGCACGAAUGGCGUAACGAUGGCCACACUGUCUCCACCCGAGACUCAGCGAAGUUGAAGUGUUUGUGAAGAUGCAAUCUCCCCGCGGCAAGACGGAAAGACCCCGUGCACCUUUACUGUAGCUUUGCAUUGGACUGUGAUGAGGUUUGUGUAGGAUAGCUGGGAGGCGAUGAAGGGGGGGCGCUAGCUCUCCUGGAGCCGACGUUGAAAUACCAGCCUGACGUCAUUGCGGUUCUAACCUGGCUCCCUCACCGGGAGCGGGGACCGUGCAUGGUAGGCAGUUUGACUGGGGCGGUCUCCUCCCAAAGCGUAACGGAGGAGCUCGAAGGUUCGCUUAGCGCGGUCGGACAUCGCGCUGGACGUGCAAGGGCACAAGCGAGCUUGACUGCGAGACUGACAAGUCGAGCAGGUACGAAAGUAGGACCUAGUGAUCCGGUGGUUCUGUAUGGAAGGGCCAUCGCUCAACGGACAAAAGGUACGCCGGGGAUAACAGGCUGAUACCGCCCAAGAGUUCAUAUCGACGGCGGUGUUUGGCACCUCGAUGUCGGCUCAUCACAUCCUGGGGCUGUAGCCGGUCCCAAGGGUAUGGCUGUUCGCUAUUUAAAGUGGUACGUGAGCUGGGUUCAAAACGUCGUGAGACAGUUUGGUCCCUAUCUGCCGUGGGCGUUGGAGAUUUGACGGGGGCUGCUCCUAGUACGAGAGGACCGGAGUGGACGUACCGCUGGUGUACCAGUUGUCUCGCCAGAGGCAUCGCUGGGUAGCUAUGUACGGAAGCGAUAACCGCUGAAAGCAUCUAAGCGGGAAACGUGCCUGAAGAUGAGAUCUCCCGGGGACUCGAUCCCCCUGAAGGGCCGUGGCAGACCACCACGUUGAUAGGCCGGGUGUGGAAGCGCAGUAAUGCGUUCAGCUAACCGGUACUAAUAACCCGUGCGGCUUGACCUC